CAUCCCAUCUGAUUCCGUGUCAAUUGAUGUGAAGGACAUUGAUGAUAGUUACGUCAGCACAGCAAGCGGAUCACCGGUUACCCAGGUAACCUACACAGUGGACAUCCAAGGAGCAGACUCUCGCUGGACACAGUAUGAAGGAUUGGACCCUGCGACACUCGGCCAAUAUUUCCGAUCUCUUGGGAUUAAUUUGGUUGAAGGCGAUAUAAUCAGGAUAGAGGGUAGAACCACACCUUCGUCAGGAACAGGACAAACUGCUACUCCAACAUCACCAACGGGCACGAUCAGCACUGUCAGCGUCAUUGUCUUGAGGGGCAACAUUAGUGACAGCUAUCAGACGGCAGUGGAAGAACUUCUGCAGAAUGCACUGAAUAGAACCAAGAACGGUGCAUCGUGUUGCAUACAGCUACACAUCAUUGAACAAUCAACUGUCUUUGAUCCCAAUGG